rnacentral:rRNA from 1 species
GACGAACGCUGGCGGCGUGCUUAACACAUGCAAGUCGAACGGAAAGGCCCUGCUUUUGUGGGGUGCUCGAGUGGCGAACGGGUGAGUAACACGUGAGUAACCUGCCCUUGACUUUGGGAUAACUUCAGGAAACUGGGGCUAAUACCGGAUAGGAGCUCCUGCUGCAUGGUGGGGGUUGGAAAGUUUCGGCGGUUGGGGAUGUACUCGCGGCUUAUCAGCUUGUUGGUGGGGUAGUGGCUUACCAAGGCUUUGACGGGUAGCCGGCCUGAGAGGGUGACCGGCCACAUUGGGACUGAGAUACGGCCCAGACUCCUACGGGAGGCAGCAGGGGGGAAUAUUGCACAAUGGGCGGAAGCCUGAUGCAGAAACGCCGCGUGCGGGAUGACGGCCUUCGGGUUGUAAACCGCUUUCGCCUGUGACGAAGCGUGAGUGACGGUAAUGGGUAAAGAAGCACCGGCUAACUACGUG